UUCUCUUUUCCGAACAUGUGUUUUAUCAAUGAUCAAUGCUGCCACUGCACAAACAAUACAUUCGCUGAUUUUGUGAAGUUUAAUUUUAGUGUUUGUUUUGAUGUUGACGGAAUUAUAAGUCGUGCAAGAAUCUUGCGGACGUUACAUAUUAGAGAAGGAUCCUUGGAUUCGGAUUUUUCUUCAGAAAAUUUUCUUGGAUCGACGACGAAUCUGAGGCACAUCUUUUCUGUAAUUCACAUUGGAUCAUCUAAUGAAAUUGAUAGACUCAACGGGUUACAACUGAAUACAAUCCAACAGUUAACUUCACCACAAUUUGUUCAACCAAAAAACGAUUCUAGUCAAUAUGGGAUCGUUGAUACGUAAAAUAAUUCCCUACGUCAAUUUCCUAGUUUCAUCAUCCGCCCUGUGUUUUCAAUUUUUCGUACUAUAUCCGUGGCACAACGAACUGGAUAAGGAUUUUCGAAAGAUGCAAGAGGAUCAACAUGUUACUCUCGAAGAGUACCAUCAGAAGAAGAUCAAACGGCUUGAAGAGAUCGAACAGAAUAUUUUACGUCUGGAGGCUUACCAUCAUCAAAACGAUGCGCCUAAGAAAAAGUGAUUUGUGCAUUCUAUGAAUGGUUUCCAAUAGAAAACCACUUACUGAGUCGACUAAAAUCCAUGUUUUCAACGUUUUAGUUUAGCAGUAUUACCUCAACGAAUCCAAUCACACGGUAUGUUGUAAGACAUUAAGUAGUGAUCAGCUUUUAUCCGUUAGUACCAACAAAUGUGGCAUUGGAUUCGUGAAAAAAAUUAAAAAAUUCGUGGAAAUAAUCUCUUUUGUUCGGUUACGACGUAAUUAUUUAUUGAAAGUACAAUUUAAUGUUACAAAUUAAAAACAACAAAAAAAUUAAAAUUAGAAAA